UUUAAGCCAAGCAAGCAGUGCUCAAUACAAAUCCACCAUGAAGACCUUUCUCAUCCUUGCCCUCCUUGCUAUUGUGGCGACCACCGCCACAACUGCAGUUAGAGUUCCAGUGCCACAAUUGCAGCUACAAAAUCCAUCUCAGCAACAGCCACAAGAGCAAGUUCCAUUGGUACAAGAACAACAAUUUCCAGGGCAGCAACAACCAUUUCCACCACAACAGCCAUAUCCGCAGCCGCAACCAUUUCCAUCACAACAACCAUAUCUGCAGCUGCAACCAUUUCCACAGCCGCAACUACCAUAUCCGCAGCCGCAACCAUUUCGACCACAACAACCAUAUCCACAGCCGCAACCACAGUAUUCGCAACCACAACAACCAAUUUCGCAGCAGCAGCAGCAGCAGCAGCAACAACAACAACAACAACAACAAAUCCUACAACAAAUUUUGCAACAACAACUGAUUCCAUGCAGGGAUGUUGUAUUGCAACAACACAACAUAGCGCAUGGAAGCUCACAAGUUUUGCAAGAAAGUACUUACCAGCUGGUGCAACAAUUGUGUUGUCAGCAGCUGUGGCAGAUCCCCGAGCAGUCGCGGUGCCAAGCCAUCCACAAUGUUGUUCAUGCUAUUAUUCUGCAUCAACAACACCACCACCACCAACAACAACAACAACAACAACAACAACAACCGUUGAGCCAAGUCUCCUUCCAACAGCCUCAGCAACAAUAUCCAUCAGGCCAGGGCUUCUUCCAACCAUCUCAGCAAAACCCACAGGCCCAGGGCUCUUUCCAGCCUCAACAACUGCCCCAGUUUGAGGCAAUAAGGAACCUAGCGCUACAGACGCUACCUGCAAUGUGCAAUGUGUAUAUCCCUCCAUAUUGCACCAUUGCUCCAUUUGGCAUCUUCGGUACUAACUGAGAAGAGAAGAACUCUAGUAGUAGAUAUAUGAUACACCGUUUUCUUAGUCCAUGGUUUGGUCGUUGUAGCGGUGAAAAAAUAAAGUGACAUGCACUAUCAUGUAAGAACCUGAACUAUACUAGUUCAAACUUGGGAAUAAAAGACAAACACAGGUCUUGUCUACAUAUGAUUGUUUGUUUGAGUUCCACUCAUGUGCCCAUUCACAAGUUCACCCCUAAUUAUAUAUAUUAUGCAUUAAGUAGAUAUUUAUGUUGCAUUAAUCUAAAGAUAACAAAAUGAGUCUGAAAUUUGAAUUAAAUUGAAGUAUUUCCUUGGACUUUCAAAUGGAGUAUUAUUAAAGUAGUAAGGACUAUCCACAUCCUUGGCUUGCCCUUGAUCAAUUAUUUGCUGAGAAGCAUUCAAUUCGUCAAUCAAUUACAUUGAUUUUUGUGGCUGGUACUUCUCCUCAACAUGAGUAUAUUCAUCGUGGCUACUCCAAAUCGGCAUGAAUGAGGUACCGGUGCUCUGGAGCACUAGUACCUAACAGCUUCUCAUGUGAAGGGGUGCGGGCACGGGAGAGGUGUUUUUGGUGGGUCAAGGGAGUAAGAAGCGGCCGUGGCAGCGGUCCAGACGCCCACAAAGCCUCGUAGUUUGUUUUUGGUUUACAGGAAAAUGCACAUCCAGACUGGCCUGCGGGCCGAUAUAGGACCGUAUUGGAUGGCAAAACAUGUCCAGAUGGUUGUGAGCGGUUUGAGGGUUAGCUUUUGUAACGCCCGGUUAGUUAUGCUAUGGUAGUUCCCUGCUAAUGAUGUCACGUCACCACGAUUACUGUUGUUAACCUCACAAUGAUUCAAUCCCAUUCAAAUCCAAAUUUAAAAUAAAGGCAAACAUCAAAAGUUUCAAACAUUAAAACUAAAAUCUUCGAGAGGUGAAAAAUAAUGCAUAAGUAAUUAUGGUGGAGAAACCACACUUUUAUAAAAUGUUUAAAUACUCUAAAAGGAAUAAAACAGUGGCUUAAACUAUUAUUUAAAUGCUUUUAAAAUAGUAAAAAUGUUCUAACUAAAUUAAUUGGGUACCAAACUUUUGGUGGCAGUGGUAUAUUUAGUAGAAAAAAUUUAGAUGCUAAUUAUAUAAUUUACAAAAUUAAAGUAAAUUAAAAAAUAGGAUAAAACAUAAAAGGAAAGACAAAACAAAUAAAAGCAAAAGGGGGCAACCCCUCACUGAGCCUCGGCCUAGCUGGCCACUAGGCUAGCUAGGCCGGCCCAGCCGCCUCCCUUAACCCCCCACUCCCCAUCGAACAAUAGCCCGAUCGCCCCACUUCCCCCACACCCCCUCGUCAGCCUCCCCACCUCUCGAUCCCAUCUGGAUCGGGGAGGGGAUCGCCCCCAUCGACCCCGUCGCCAUCGCCGGAUCACCCGCUCGCCCAUCGCCCGCCGGCGUCGCCGGGCCUCCUCCCCGCCGCCCGUCUCCGGCUCUCCUCCCCUCUCGCUCCUCUUCCCCGACCCGAUAUGGAUCGAGAAGGGGCAAUGAGCCCGACGCCCCCCUCCACCGACGUUGUGCGCCAGCACCGCCACCCGAAGACCUCGUCGUCGCCGGACCUCGCGUCGCCUCCUCGUAUCUCUCCCCGACUCGCCUCCUCAAGCCACGCCGACCCCCUUCUCGGCAACGCUGUGAGCCGCCCCCGUUUCCCUCCUUCUCUUUCCACCGUGUUUGAUAAGUCUCCAACGUAUCUAUAAUUUUUGAUUGUUCCAUGCUAUAUUAUAUUCUGUUUUGGAUGAUUAAUGGGAUUUAUUAUACACUUUUAUAUUAUUUUUGGGACUAACCUAUUAACCGGAGGCCCAGCCCAAAUUGCUGUUUUUUUGCCUAUUUCAGUGUUUCGCAGAAAAAGAAUAUCAAACGGAGUCCAAACGGAAUGAAACCUUCGGGAAUGUGAUUUUCGGAACAAACGUGAUCCAGAGGACUUGGAGUGGACGUCAAGCAACAGACGAGGAAGCCACGAGGUAGGGGCGCGCCUACCCUCCUGGGCGCGCCCUCCACCCUCAUGGGCCCCUCGUGGCUCCACUGACCUACUUCUUCCUCCUAUAUAUACCUACGUACCCCCAAACCAUCAGAAGCGACCACAAAAACCUAAUUCCACCGCCGCAACCUUCUGUACCCGUGAGAUCCCAUCUUAGGGCCUUUUCCGGCGUCCUGCCGGAGGGGGCAUUGAUCACGGAGGGCUUCUACAUCAACACCAUAGCCUCUCCGAUGAUGUGUGAGUAGUUUACCUCAGACCUUCGGGUCCAUAGUUAUUAGCUAGAUGGCUUCUUCUCUCUCUUUGGAUCUCAAUACAAAGUUCUCCUCGUUUCUCUUGGAGAUCUAUUUGAUGUAACUCUUCUUUUUGCGGUGUGUUUGUCGAGAUCCGAUGAAUUGUGGGUUUAUGAUCAAGAUUAUCUAUGAACAAUAUUUGAAUCUCCUCUGAAUUCUUUUAUGUAUGAUUGGUUAUCUUUGCAAGUCUCUUCGAAUUAUCAGUUUGGUUUGGCCUACUAGAUUGAUCUUUCUUGCAAUGGGAGAAGUGCUUAGCUUUGGGUUCAAUCCUGCGGUGUCCUUUCCCAGUGACAGCAGGGGCAGCAAGGCACGUAUUGUAUUGUUGCCAUCGAGGAUAAAAAGAUGGGGUUUAUAUCAUGUUGCAUGAGUUUAUCCCUCUACAUCAUGUCAUCUUGCUUAAAGCGUUACUCUGUUUUUAUGAACUUAAUACUCUAGAUGCAUGCUGGAUAGCGGUCGAUGUGUGGAGUAAUAGUAGUAGAUGCAGAAUCGUUUUGGUCUACUUGUCACGGACGUGAUGCCUAUAUACAUGAUCAUACCUAGAUAUUCUCAUAACUAUGCUCAAUUCUAUCAAUUGCUCGACAGUAAUUCGUUUACCCACCAUAAUACUUAUGCUCUUGAGAGAAGCCACUAGUGAAACCUAUGGCCCCCGGGUCUAUUUUCCAUCAUAUUAAUCUUCCGUCAACAAGCUAUUUCUAUCUUUAUUUACCUUGUAAUCUUUACUUUUACUCUUUAUCAUAAAAAUACCAAAAAUAUUAUCUUAUCAUCUCUAUCAGAUCUCACUCUCGUAAGUGACCGUGAAGGGAUUGACAACCCCUUUAUCGCGUUGGUUGCGAGGUUCUUAUUUGUUUGUGUAGGUGCGUGGGACUUGAGUGUGGCCUCCUACUGGAUUGAUACCUUGGUUCUCAAAAACUGAGGAAAAUACUUACGCUACUUUACUGCAUCACCCUUUCCUCUUCAAGGGAAAACCAACGCAGUGCUCAAGAGGUAGCAAGAAGGAUUUCUAGCACCGUUGCCGGGGAGUCUACGCACAAGUCAAGACAUACCAAGUACCCGUCACAAACUCUUAUCCCUCGCAUUACAUUAUUUGCCAUUUGCCUCUCGUUUUCCUCUCCCCCACUUCACCCUUGCCGUUUUAUUCGCCUCCUUUUCGUUUGCUUCUUGUUUGCUCGUGUGUUGGAUUGCUUGUUUGUCGCGAUGGCUCUACCUAGAUUUGGUGAUCUUCCAUUAAAAGGUUAGAAGAGAUUGAAAGCAACGUCAGAAGUUUCAUGACUUUACAAUUUGAGCAUAACAAUUUCUUUAGAAACGAGCUUAAGGAACAAAAAAGCUUUAUGGGUUACAUGAAUAAAGAGCUCGACGAUAUGUCUAAGGAAUUUUAUGGUCUAAAAUCUUAGAUUUCUCAUCUCGAAAAAUUAAUUGCUGAAAUUUCGGAUAAGCAGGCCACCUUAGUUAAUAAGAUGGCCGCUAAACCGGUAAUUUUUUAUGAGAAUAAAGAUGAAGAUCUAAAAGUUAUUGAUGUGUCCCCUAUUAAAUCUUAGUUUUGCAAUAUGAAUCUUGAUAAUGAUGGGACUGGAGAUGAGUCAACUUUAGUUAAAAGGCGUCCCAAAAAUUCGGAGUUUUUAGAUCUUGAUGCAAAAUUUGGUAAAAGUGGGAUUGAAGAGGUCAAAACUUUAGAUAUCAAUGAACCCACUAUCUUGGAUUUCAAGGAAUUUAAUUAUGAUAAUUGCUCUUUGAUAUAUUUUAUUUCCUUGUUGCAAUCCGUGUUAAAUUCUCCUCAUGCUUAUAGUCAAAAUAAAGCUUUUACUAAACAUAUCGUUGUUGCUUUGAUGCAAUCUUAUGAAGAAAAACUUGAGUUGGAAGUUUCUAUCCCUAGAAAACUUUAUGAUGAAUGGGAACCUACAAUUAAAAUUAAAAUUAAAGAUCAUGAAUGCUAUGCUUUGUGUGAUUUGGGUGCUAGUGUUUCCACGAUCCCAAAAACUUUGUGUGAUUUGCUAGGUUUCCGUGAAUUUGAUGAUUGUUCUCUAAAUUUGCAUCUUGCGGAUUCCACCAUCAAGAAACCUAUGGGAAGAAUUAAUGAUGUUAUUAUUGUUUCAAAUAGGAACUAUGUGCCCGUAGAUUUUAUUGUUCUUGAUAUAGAUUACAAUCCUUCAUGUCCUAUUAUUUUUGGUAGACCUUUCCUUAGAACGAUUGGUGCAAUUAUUGAUAUGAAAGAAGGAAAUAUUAGAUUCCAAUUUCCGUUAAGGAAAGGUAUGGAACACUUUCCUAGAAAGAAAAUAAAAUUACCUUAUGAAUCUAUUAUGAGAGCUACUUAUGGAUUGCCUACCAAAGAUGGCAAUACCUAGAUCUAUCCUCGCUUUUAUGCCUAGCUAGGGGCGUUAAAUGGUAGCGCUUGUUGGGAGGCAACCCAAAUUUUAUUUUAGUUUUUUUGCUUUUUUGCUUCUGUUUAGGAAUAAAUCUUUGAUCUAGACUCUGGUUAGACUUGUUUUUAUGUUUUAAUUAGUGUUUGUGCCAAGUUAAACCUAUAGGAUCUUCUUGGAUGAUAGUUAUUUGAUCUUGCUGAAAAUUCCAGAAACUUUCUGUUCACGAAAACAAUUGUUAAAAAUCACCAGAACGUGAUAAAAUACUGAUUCUAAUUGCAGUAGAUCAAUAAACAAAUUAUCUAGGUCUUCCUAUUUUGGUAGAUUUUUCUGAGUUACAUAAGUUUGUGUUAGUUACAGAUUACUACAGACUGUUCUGUUUUUGACAGAUUCUGUUCUUCGUGUGUUGUUUGCUUAUUUUGAUGAAUCUAUGGCUAGUAAAAUAGUUUAUAAACCAUAGAUAAGUUGGAAUACAUUAGGUUUAACACCAAUAUAAAUAAAGAAUGAGUUCAAUACAGUACCUUGAAGUGGUGUUUUGUUUUCUUUCGCUAACGGAGCUCACGAGAUUUUCUGUUAAGUUUUGUGUUGUGAAGUUUUCAAGUUUUGGGUAAAGAUUUGAUGGAUUAUGGAACAAGGAGUGGCAAGAGCCUAAGCUUGGGGACGCCCAAGGCACCCCAAGGUAAAUCUAAGGACACCAAAAAUCCAAAGCUUGGGGAUGCCCCGGAAGGUAUCCACUCUUUCGUCUUCGUCCAUCGGUAACUUUACUUGGAGCUAUAUUUUUAUUCACCACAUGAUAAGUGUUUUGCUUGGAGCGUCUUGUAUGAUUUGAGUAUUUGCUUUUUAGUUUACCACAUUCAUACUUGCUGUACACACCUUUUGAGAGAGACACACAUGAUUCAGAAUUUAUUAGAAUACUCUAUGUGCUUCACUUAUAUCUUUUGAGCUAUAUAGUUUUUGCUCUAGUGCUUCACUUAUAUCUUUUAGAGCACGGUGGUGGUUUUGUUUUAUAGAAACUAUUUUUCUCUCAUGCUUCACUUAUAUCAUUUUGAGAGUCCUACAUAACAGCAUGGUAAUUUGCUUAAAUUGAGAAAUUAGUCCUAAUAUGAUAGGCAUCCAAGAUUAGUAAAAACUUUCUUAUAAGUGCGUUGAAUACUAAGAAAAGUUUGAUGCUUGAUGAUUGUUUUGAGAUAUGGAGGUAGUGAUAUUAAAGUUGUGCUAGUUGAGUAGUUUUGAAUUUGAGAAAUACUUGCGUUGAAGUUUGCAAGUCCCGUAGCAUGCACGUAUGGUAAACGUUGUGUAACAAAUUUGAAACAUGAGGUGUUCUUUGAUUGUCCUCCUUAUGAGUGGCGGUCGGGGACGAGUGAUGGUCUUUUCCUACCAAUCUAUCCCCCUAGGAGCAUGCGCGUAGUGCUUGGUUUUUGAUGACUUGUAGAUUUUUGCAAUAAGUAUGUGAGUUCUUUAUGACUAAUGUUGAGUCCAUGGAUUAUACGCACUCUCACCCUUCCAUCAUUGCUAGCAUCUUCGGUACCGUGCAUUGCCCUUUCUCACCUUGAGAGUUGGUGCAAAUUUCGCCGGUGCAUCCAGACCCCGUGAUACGAUACGCUCUGUCACACAUAAACCUCCUUAUAUCUUCCUCAAAACAGCCACCAUACCUACCUGUUAUGGCAUUUCCAUAGCCAUUCCGAGAUAUAUUGUCAUGCAACUUUCCACCGUUCCGUUUAUCAUGACACGUUUCAACAUUGUCAUAUUGCCUUGCAUGAUCAUGUAGUUGACAUCGUAUUUGUGGCAAAGCCACCGUUCAUAAUUUUUCAUACAUGUCACUCUUGAUUCAUUGCCCAUCCCGGUACACCGCCGGAGGCAUUCAUAUAGAGUCAUACUUUGUUCUAGUAUCGAGUUGUAAUCAUUGAGUUAUAAAUAAAUAGAAGUGUGAUGAUCAUCAUUCAUAGAGCAUUGUCCCAAAAAAAGGAGAAAGGCCAAAUGAAAAAAAGGCCCAAAAAAAGGGGCAAUGUUACUAUCCUUUUUCCAUACUUGUGCUUCAAAGUAGCACCAUGGUCUUUAUGAUAGAGAGUCUCUUGUUUUGUCACUUUCAUAUACUAGUGGGAAUUUUUCAUUAUAGAACUUGGCUUGUAUAUUCCCACAAUGGGCUUCCUCAAAUGCCCUAGGUCUUCGUGAGCAAGCAAGUUGGAUGCACACCCACUUAGUUUCUUUUGUUGAGCUUUCAUGCAUUUAUAGCUCUAGUGCAUCCGUUGCAUGGCAAUCCCUACUCCUUGCAUUGACAUCAAUCGAUGGGCAUCUCCCUAGCUCGUUGAUUAGCCGCGUCAAUGUGAGACUUUCUUUUCUUUUUUUCUUCUCCACAUAACCCCCAUCAUCAUAUUAUAUUCCACCCAUAGUGUUAUAUCCAUGGCUCACGCUCAUAUAUUGCGUGAAAGUUGAAUUUUUUUUGAGAUUACUAAAGUAUGAAACAAUUGCUUGGCUUGUAAUCGGGGUUGUGCAUGAUGAGAGCAUUCUUGUGUGACGAAAAUGGGGCAUGACCAAACUAUAUGAUUUUGUAGGGAUGAACUUUCUUUGGCCAUGUUAUUUUGAGAAGACAUAAUUGCUUAGUUAGUAUGCUUGAAGUAUUAUUACUUUUAUGUCAAUAUUAAACUUUUAUCUUGAAUCUUUCGGAUCUGAAUAUUCAUACCACAAAUAAGAGAAUUACAUUGAAAAUUAUGCUAAGUAGCAUUCCACAUCAAAAAUUCUGUUUUUAUCAUUUACCUACUCGAGGACGAGCAGGAAUUAAGCUUGGGGAUGCUUGAUACGUCUCCAACGUAUCUAUAAUUUUUGAUUGUUCCAUGCUAUAUUAUAUUCUGUUUUGGAUGAUUAAUGGGCUUUAUUAUACACUUUUAUUAUUUUUGGGACUAACCUAUUAACCGGAGGCCCAGCCCAAAUUGUUGUAUUUUUUGCCUAUUUUAGUGUUUCGCAGAAAAAGAAAAUCAAACGGAGUCCAAACGGAAUGAAACCUUCGGGAACGUGAUUUUCGGAACAAAUGUGAUCCAGAGGACUUGGAGUGGACGUCAAGGAACAGACGAGGAAGCCAUGAGGUAGGGGGGCGCGCCUACCCCCUGGGCGCGCCCUCCACCCUCGUGGCUCCACCGACCUACUUCUUCCUCCUAUAUAUACCUACGUACCCCCAAACCAUCAGAAGCGACCAUGAAAACCUAAUUCCACCACCGCAACCUUCUAUACCCCUGAGAUCCCAUCUUGGGGCCUUUUCCGGCGUCCUGCCGGAGGGGGCAUUGAUCACGGAGGGCUUCUACAUCAACACCAUAGCCUCUCCGAUGAUGUGUGAGUAGUUUACCUCAGACCUUCGGGUCCAUAGUUAUUAGCUAGAUGGCUUCUUCUCUCUCUUUGGGUCUCAAUACAAAGUUCUCCUCGUUUCUCUUGGAGAUCUAUUUGAUGUAACUCUUCUUUUUGCGGUGUGUUUGUCGAGAUCCGAUGAAUUGUGGGUUUAUGAUCAAGAUUAUCUAUGAACAAUAUGUGAAUCUCCUAUGAAUUCUUUUAUGUAUGAUUGGUUAUCUUUGCAAGUCUCUUCGAAUUAUCAGUUUGGUUUGGCCUACUAGAUUGAUAUUUCUUGCAAUGGGAAAAGUGCUUAGCUUUGGGUUCAAUCUUGCGGUGUCCUUUCCCAGUGACAGCAGGGGCAGCACGGCACAUAUUGUAUUGUUGCCAUCGAGGGUAAAAAGAUGGGGUUUAUAUCAUAUUGCAUUAGUUUAUCCCUCUACAUCAUGUCAUCUUGCUUAAAGCGUUACUCUGUUCUUACGAACUUAAUGCUCUAGAUGCAUGCUGGAUAGCGGUCGAUGUGUGGAGUAAUAGUAGUAGAUGCAGAAUCGUUUCGGUCUACUUGUCACGGACGUGAUGCCUAUAUACAUGAUCAUACCUAGAUAUUCUCAUAACUAUACUCAAUUCUAUCAAUUGCUCGACAGUAAUUCGUUUACCCACCGUAAUACUUAUGCUCUUGAGAGAAGCCACUAUUGAAACCUAUGGCCCCCGGGUCUAUUUUCCAUCAUAUUAAUCUUCCGUCAACAAGCUAUUUCUAUCUUUAUUUACCUUGCAAUCUUUACUUUUACUCUUUAUCAUAAAAAUACCAAAAAAAAUUAUCUUAUCAUCUCUAUCAGAUCUCACUCUCGUAAGUGACCGUGAAGGGAUUGACAACCCCUUUAUCGCGUUGGUUGCGAGGUUCUUAUAUAUUUGUGUAGGUGCGUGGGACUUGAGUGUGGCCUCCUACUGGAUUGAUACCUUGGUUCUCAAAAACUGAGGGAAAUAAUUACACUACUUUACUGCAUCACCCUUUCCUCUUUAAGGGAAAACCAACGCAGUGCUCAAGAGGUAGCAGUGUUCACCGCGCCGCCCGCCGUGCCCCUCGCCGCGCGCACGCCCACCACCGCGCCAGCCCCCGCUCAGCGCCCUCUCCUGCACGCUUGUGCGCGCAUGACCCUAGCCACGCCCGCGCCGUGAUCCCCUUGUUCGGCCCGCCUUCGUCCCGCGCUCGCCGCGGCCCCCAUGCUCCCCCGUGCCAUCUUCUAGGGGCGUCGGCUGCCCCUGUCCCGCUGCUCGCUGCCACGCCUCGCCCGCCCGCGCCUCGCCACCGCUCUACUGCUACGCUAAUAUUGCGCUGUGGCCGCCGCCGCUUCCCGCUGCUCUGCCAGCGCCGAAGCUCCCGGUUGGCUCCGCCGCUGCUCACGUUUUACCGCCCCUAAACGGCCUACCCCCCCCCUCGCUAAUGAACCCCCACUGACCCGCUGACACCGGGACCCACAUCCCCUAAUUAACCAUUUAAUAAAUUAAAAAUCUUAAAUUAACAUUAGUGUAUGACAUGUGGGUCCCCUAUUAAUUAAACUGAUUUAAUUAAAAUCUAUUAACAUUGAGUCUGUGACAUAUGGGCCCCACUAAACAUUUGACCAGUCAACGGUCUAGUCAAAUGCUGACCGGACAGUUGACCAGAGGGCCCCACCAGUCAGCCUCUGUGCUGUUCUGCUGGGUACCUUUCUAAGUACACCUAGCAUUUUGCAUUUACAAUAUUUGUUUUAAAAUAAAUUAGAAUAAUUUCAAAAAAAGAUUAAAACUUUUAAAAUUAAAAUAAAAUAAUCCGUAACUCGGAUGAAAUUACUUUAUACAUGCAAGUUGCUCAAAAAACGAGACGAAUCCGAAUACACAGUCCGUUCGUCUGCCACACGUCCCUAGCAUAGCAAACAUGCAACCAUCCCCCUCCGGUUCGACUGUCCGAAAAUGUCAGACACGGGAAAUACUUUUCCGGAUUUUCCCCUUCACCAUUAGCACCUAGUACCGCGUGAGGGCAUACCUAGCACCACUUAUUGUAAUGUCAUGCAUCGUCAUGCAUCUGUUUGCAUUGUAUUCAUUGUUUCUUCCUCCUCUUCUCUCCGGUAGACUACGAGACCGACGUCGGUGCUGCCCCGGUCGACUACGGUGUCCAUGACCCCUCCUUGUAAGCAGAGCUUCCAGGCAAGCAAACCCCCUUGAUCAUCCCGAUAUCGCCUACUCUUUCCCUCUACUGCUUGCAUUAGAGUAUUGUUACUGUUUGUCGGUUUGAUCCUAUACUGCUGCAUGGCUUGUCUUUGAUACUACUUAUGUGUUAUUUGUGUAGAUUUGUCAAGGAAAAAUGAGUCUAUAGCCUAAUAAAUGAAGUGUUGCAUGUUACCACACAUAUGUUAAUCCCCACUAUAGAGUUAGUAACAUAGACUAGUAACAUGUGCAUGUUACUACCCAUUGUGGCCAGUCUAUGUUACCACUUUCCUCUCUUUCUUCAUUUAUUGCUUGCCACAUCAUCUAUUUUAUCUAGGUAUGUGUGAUAUUACUACCUAUGUUACUCCCACUGUGGGUAGUCUAAGCAGGCUAUAAGGAAUAGAAUAAUAUAUAUGUGCUUAUUAGUUGGAGGAAAGAGAAGAGAAGCGGGCUCUUGGUUAGUAGAGCCAGCUACAACAUGAGACCCAAGCACUUUGUGAGGAUGUAAGGUGGCCAACUAUUGAUAAACUAGUACGUAUAUAAAAAUUAUUAUUGCACAUGGCCGCUAAGAGGUUGGCUGUAUAUGACAUGACAACUUCUUAUAGCCGACCCUUGGCUGUAUUAUUAACCAUGCUCUUAGUGAGGUAGCUAGUAUAUCAUAGACGACUAGCUAGUAUCAGACUAGCCAAAGUGGGAGUAACUUCAGCAGUAACAUCGACUCCAACUCAGAAAACUUGCUUAUGUGGGAGUAAACCGUGCCCAAUGCAAAAUACAAUCCCAGUCAUAAUUUUUUCAGGAAACGUGUGGUAUCCCAAACGAAAAGUACAUGUCACUCUUGCGGCAACGAUACCCAAUAAAUCACAAACGGUCUGCAGCACUUGUAUGUGUGCGAAGAGGCUCCUGAACCGUUUGUGAUAGAACAUUAUCGUAGACGAUAAUUGUUGGCAAACGUGUGCGAUGGAGUCUAGCAUGGCAGACAGGUUACGCAGAAAACUCGUGUGCGAUGGGGCACAAAUCGCACACAGUUCAUAUGUUGGCCCGUGUGCCUUACAUACUAUUUCCCAAACGGUUUGUUACGACAGACCGUAUGGUUUCAGUGCGUCAUUAGAAACGCUUAAUCACCGAUACCACACGUGCGAAAGAAUUUAGUGUGUGCUUCAUCGCACACGAUUACAUUUUGGAAGGCCUCUGGAUCACUGCUCCAUAUCCCCGACGGUUUCUGGGUCGUGUGGGAAGUACACCCUAUCGCACACACUCACUUGGCGACGGUUCCAAAUGCCAUCGCGGAAAGGGGUUGAAAACAGUUUGUUUAGAACCGACGCGUACCAUUGUCUAUCUAUCUAUCUACCUAUCUAUCUAUCUAUCUAUCCAUCCAUCUAUCUAUCUAUCCAUCUAUCUAUCCACCUAUCCAUCUAUCCAUCUAUCUAUCUCUAUCCAUCUAUCUAUCUAUCCAUCUAUCCAUCUAUCUAUCCAUCUAUUUAUCUAUCUAUCUAUCUAUCUAUCUAUCUAUGUAUCCAUCGAUCCAUCUAUCCAUCCAUCGAUCCAUCUAUCCAUCCAUCUAUCUAUCCAUGCAUCCAUGUAUCCAUCUAUCGAUCUAUCCAUCUAUCCAUAUAUCGAUCUAUCCAUCUAUCUAUCCAUCUAUCCAUCUAUCCAUCUAUCGAUCUUUCCAUCUAUCGAUCUAUCCAUCUCUUCAUCUACCCAUCUAUCCAUCUAUCCAUCUACCGAUCUAUCUAUCCAUCUAUCUACCUACCUAUCUAUCUAGCUAUCUAGCUAUCUAUCUAUCUAUCCAUCCAUCUGUCCAUCCAUCCAUCUAUCUACCUACCUACCUACCUACCUACCUACCUAUCUAUCUAUAUAUCUAUCUAUCUAUCUAUCUAUCUAUCUAUCUAAAGGAAAUAUGCCCUAGAUGCAAUAAUAAAGUUGUUAUUUAUAUUACUUAAACUAGCAGAGUCACCCGCGCAUUUGCGCGGCUAGAUUGACUACAUAUAUUGUUAUAUUUGGGAUUAUUUUUCUAUGCCAACUUUAUGGCCUCUUACUCAGAUAUUAUCUAAUUUAAUUUACCACCACCAUAUGUUAUAUCCAUAGAUUAUAAUUAAAAGGCAACUUGCGACGAAACAUGGUCAGAUUAUUGAGUGCUCAGAAGACGGGCGCAAUAUCAUAUAUAGACUUCUAUACCAAUCUUCAUGGUUCCCAUCUUUGAUCCUCUCCUCGUCCCUUGGUAUCUAUCUUUGCACCCAAUAUGUCUUUGGAGUUCCAAGAAUUGGAUCUUAGCAUGAAUGGCUUCAAAGUGUACCAAAUGUUCUCUUGUUCCUCCCAAAUUAAUUACUGGUUGCAUUCUUAGUUGCUUUGACAUUCUUGGUUAAUGCAAUGUCUUGCCUACCAAUAUAUGCAUCCACACACGAUCAUAUUUAUAUGACCACUUACCUCUGUAUUCUGGUAUUUGUGCUUCAGAAUUUUUCUCUCAUUCAGUUUAUUCAUAGAUUAGAAACGUCGAUCGUUUCUUUAUUGGUUUGCAUUAUCUUGUUUGCCGAAUGUAAGCAUCCACACAUGCUCGUCAUGAUAUGAUUGGUCAUCAUUGUAUAUUUGUAUUUGUGUGUUGAUAGCUUAAGGAUUUUCUCGGAUUCACUUCAUAGUUUAAGGAUUUUCUCGCGUUCAAUUUAUUCUACCUUAUUCAUUUUCAUGUUUCUUUAUUGUAUUCAUAUCCAUUCUUACAAUAUAUUUUCCAAGAUAUGAACUCAACUACUAAUUACGUAGUUUUCAAUGAAAUUUUACAUGUAAAAGUGGUACAAAUGCAUAAACCCAAUUUUUUUUUAAACACGUUGACUUACAAAAAGGACAAUUCAAGCUGCAUGUACGUCCGACUCAUGUUUACCUGACAAUGUCGAUGUUGAUUUCAGCAGUAAAUGAGCUGUGUGUGACCUUUGCGCUUUCCGGUAUUCUUCUAACCUGUGUGCUUUAUGAUCAGUUUGUUGUGCUUAGUACUGGACACUGGAGUAUACUAUCAUAUUUGAUACAAACAAAUCCGAACUGCUAUAGUUAUGAUCCACUGUAUAGUUAAUGGUGGUGGUAAUUAAUAUAUGUGGUUAAAUACUUGCGCUCCUUAGGUGGGGAGUUGGAUUUGUAUUUGUCUAAAAUGAAUUUCAGAUUUCGUAUCAGUGGUGAAGCCAGCCGGAAGAACCUCUGCGUCAUUAUUAAUUUUGGUGAUAUUUUUCAUCAUAGUGUAGAAUAAUUUUAGUGCUUAUUCCGCAAAAAAAUGGCCUCAACUGACCCCAUAGCUUGUAUGUUGCGCCACCACUGUUUCGUAUAUCUUAUUACAUCCGUUGUUUUUAGAUCUUGAUGCAUAACUUUGACAAUUUUUAAUAGAUAUGUGUCUGUAUAAAAAAAUUAUAAAUGCUAUGAUAAUUUGAUUAAUUAUGAUGAAUAAAAUGGUAUUGCUUUGACUUGAUCCCUCUAACAAUUUAUAGGAAUGCUCUUAAAUAUUUCUGCUUCAUUUGAUCUCAUUAUAGCCUGCCUAAAUUACAUGGCUUAAUCGCCUUUUUUCUUUUAUCUUAGUUCAUUUCCGUAAAUUCAUUUGUACUAUAUAUGCUCCCGUAAAUUCAUUUUUUUAAUUGCUCACAUUUUUUUGAGGCAUUUUGAGUUUCUCACGUACGCUCAAACGCCCAAGAAAACACAUAUAGUGUUCGCUACGCCCAAGAAAACACAUUGAGGCAGUAAUUUCUUCAGGCAAGAUCGAUCGGCAGCUAAUUAAGUAGGCUGGAUGGCAUUGAGAAAUCCAAAAACGAUUUACAUACACAUGGUAGAUCGUCUCUCUCUCUCCUUCCACCCCUUCCUUUCAUGGCCAUCGUAGACUGCACCAUGUGGCAUUCAAACUUUUAUCAAGGGGAGAGUUUCCUCACACACACACACACACAUGCACAUACGCAAGCACACGCACACACGUGUAGUACAAACUUAGAAUUUUUGGAAAUAAUGGGAGGCCGAGCAACGGCCAUGUGAAAAUAUGAGGUAUAUAGCUUGUGGAUUUCCUUUCAGUGUACAAGGCCUGCAUGAGGAAUGGAUAAAAAAUUAUAUCUUUGAUUCCCUUAGUUAAAUCUUAUCCUUCAUCGUCAAUUAUGACUAAGCAUACAUAGUAACCGCUAGUUUCUCUUAUAUGCUUCCGAGAAGAUAAGACUGGAUAUUUUAGUUGCUAUUAAUUGUUUCCCUUCUUUCGCUAAAUAGUAGUCAAACAUGUUAUUAAUGUAUUUUGUAAGGAUAAGGUCGAGCAUCAUGGCCACUAUGUUCUAUAUAUACUGAAUUUGGUGUUCAGUAUGACAUAACAAACACAUAUUGUGAGAAGGAGUAGUGUACAUUGUUCUCUAGUGCACUUUGUUCAGCAAGUUGGGUGAAAAUGUUGAAUAGAACCAUCAAGUUUUCAUACUUUUUUUCAUGGCACAGGUUUGCCUUCUCAUGAUGAUGGCCGCACCGUUUGCACAAGCUGCUGGGAGGCCUGUGGCCUCCUUACCAUGGGUAGCGGGGUGUUGCCCGAGGAACUAUUUGUGUUGUGGUGUUGGUGCCGUUGCCCCGACAUCCCAUGCAUCACAGGCCACCUCUGUACCUUGAGUUAUGGUUUCGCCUGAUCUCCUCUCAUAACAUAGUUGAUAUAACAUAGUAGCAUCACAAAGGUUGCAUGGUUUCAUUGAUUCAUCUCUUUUCUACUCCUUGAAACUUGUGAUGCCACUUUUGAACAAUGUCAUUGCUAUGUCUUCUUAUAACUAAUAAAAUGGGAGGAUAUUUUCAUCUUAUUUGAAUUGUGUUGUAACAUUACCUACUAAUGUGGAUGAUCUGAGUGGGACUACAUAGAUCGGAUCUUCUAAAGAUGUAAUCUAGGACUUUGCGAGAUGAUGAAAUUGUCCUUUAUCUUGGUCGACACCUUUUCGUAGAAGUGUUGGUCGGCCGUCUGUGUCUUUUUGCGGUGCAUGCCGUAGAAUCCUCCAUGUUUUGUAGUUGUACAAUAACCUUUGAGGCAACCGGGGGUGGUACGUCUGAGGAAGUCGGUGGCCCAGGAAUAUUCAUAAUAAGAUCUUGACCAUGGAUGCCAAGUAAUUUGCCCCGUGCUGAUGUCGUCGGGCUGACCCGCUCACUUAUGUUUUGACUCAAGGAGUCGCUAUGUUCACCGAGUCGCGAGACAGCGGGAGGAAGGAGACGAAGGUCCCAAACGUCAGACCAAAAAGGUGGACUAGGGCUCGCCCUAGUUGUGCUCUCGGGUAUUUUCAGUUACUAGUAGGAGUAAGAAGCAUUGCAAAUUGCUCCCUCUGUUCAAUCCGUAUAUAUGUAGUCCAUAUUCAUAUAUUCAAAAUAUUUUAUAUUUGUGAACGAAGGAAGUAAUUAAUUGUAAUGCAACAAUUUCAGGGGAGGCCAGUCAACAGCUAACUAAAUGUGCUGGAUGAGACUGGAGAAAUGUAUAAACGAUUUACACAUGAUAGAACUACUCUUUUCUUGUUAAGAAAUGGAAGAAUGGAUGAUUUUAUCCGUUCGGAACAAAACCCAAUAUUCAUCCAGUUAGACGUUGUUCUGAAUUGUGACGCUUUUGAAAGUUUUCUCGCAGAAAUAUGUGUGUAUUCCAGUUGUAUCAUUAGCAAACCAAGGUUGUAUAUAUUAUAGCACAAAGAAUGUUUGGUUGAUUCGUUCAGGCGAAUCGGGUUUGUUGCUGACUGCCAAAGUCAGGCCAACUCCAGCGCACGACCCCAAACGGACAUCUGUUUUGCCUGGAUUCUGCCCGUUUGGAUAGGGCAAUGGGGUCGUGUCCGGGCCUGUCCUGUGAUGCGGUGGCCGUGCGCACAACGUGCGGACGCAUCCUUUGGCCUCAUCAUGUCCGCCACGGCCAAAAAUGCCCAUAUAUUCAUAUUUCAAUGUUCAAAACUAGUUUGCACGUUCAAAUAUUAAUUGUCUGAAAAUAAAAAUAGUUAUUACAACCCAAUCAAAAUUGUCUCUAAUAAAAUAGUUUUACAACCAAAUCGAAAUUGUCUUGAAUGAACAUAAUGAACCAAUACAUCUAUUGGUUGCCAAUGUGAUUCCACAUGUGCUCAACCAAGUCAUUUUGAAGAUCCAAAUGAGUGUGCCAAUCAUGCAUUUCACGAUGAAAUUGGGCAAACUUCUCAAACGUGGCCGGUUCUUGGUGCAGGGGCUGAACAUUUUCACCUUGAAAAUCAAAUCCUUGGUCGAAGAUGCUGUUAUCAUGCUCGUCCUCGAUGAUUAUGUUGUGCAUGAUCACACAAGCAGUCAUCACCUCCCGAAGCUUCCCUUCAUCCCAUGUCAAUGCAGGGUUUCAAACGAUACCCCAUCGGGAUUGAAGCAAACCAAAAGCACGUUCCACAUCCUUCCUAGCACUCUCUUGCAUUUGGGCAAAUCUCUUUCUCUUCUCACCUUGGGGGUUCGAGAUUGUCUUCACAAAAAGUUGACCACUGAGGAUAUAUACCAUCAGCUAGGUAGUAUCCCUUGUUAUACUGGUGGCCGUUGAUCUCAAAGUUGCCAGGUGGGGAGUGGCCUUCUGCAAGCCUUGCGAAGACUGGAGAACGCGGCAGCACGUUGAUAUCAUUGUGAGAACCUGCCAUGUCGAAGAAAGAAUGCCAUAUCCAAAGAUCUUGCGAAGCCACCGCUUCUAAUAUGAUAGUGCAAGCUUUAACAUGCCCCUUGUACUGGCCCUGCCAAGAAAAUGGACAGUUCUUCCACUCCCAGUGCAUACAAUCUAUGCUACCAAUCAUGCCUGGAAAGCCUCUAGCUGCGUUGGUCGCCAACAAGCUUUCUGUAUCAGUGGCAUUUGGCUGCUGAGGGAGUCCUGGAUUAAGGGGUCCUCGGGCGUCUGGGCUAUGUAACAUGGGCUGGACUAAUGGGCCGCGAAGAUACAAGAUGGAAGGCUUUCCCCCCAUGUCCGGAUGGGACUCUCCUUGGCGUGGAAGGCAAGCUUGGCAUGCGGAUAUUAAAGAUUCCCUUCCCUGUAAACCGAGUCUGUACAACCCUAGCCCCCUCCGAUGUCUAUAUAAACCGGAGGGUUUAGUCCGUAGAGGCAAGGAUAAUCAUACAGGCUAGAUAUCUAGGGUUUAGCCAUUACGAUCUCGAGGUAGAUCAACUCUUGUAAUCCCUAUACUCAUCAAAGUCAAUCAAGCAGGAAGUAGGGUAUUACCUCCAUUAAGAGGGCCCGAACCUGGGUAAACAUCGUGUCCCCUGCCUCCUGUUACCCUCUAUCCUUAGACGCACAGUUCGGGCCCCCCUAUCCGAGAUCCGCCGGUUUUGACACCGACAGCUGCCUCAAGUACUCAGGGCCAAACACUGCCACCACAGCCUUGUAGAAUUUGUAAAGUGACAACAGACAUGUCGACUCACUCAUGCGCACGUACUCAUCCACCAGAUCGCCUGGAAUUCCAUAUGCAAGCAUGCCGAUGGCCGCGGUGCACUUCUGGUAAGAGGAGAAUCCAAGCUUGCCAAGGGCAUCCGUCUUGCACUCGAAGUAUGGGUCAUGAGCAACCACUCCCUCUCGGAUACGAUUGAACAGAUGCCUUGCCAUACGAAAACGGCGACGGAAUUUAUUCGGCUUGAAGAGCGAGGUAUUCGCAAAGUAAUUGGCAUAGAGCAAGGCGUGGCCUCUCUCUCUAUUGCGUUUCAGGUUGGGAGCACGGCCAGGGACUGACCCCAUGUACCGAGGAAGCUGCCCAAUGUGAUCGUGAACGACCAGUGCAACCACCACCAGAUCUUCGUCAUCCGAGGACGAAUCAUCCGAUGAAUAAAUGAAGUGGUGGAAGAAAAAUUCAUCUCCACUGUCCAUACCUUUGUGGGCAAAGUGUCCAACACCUUGCGGUCGUGGUGGCAAAUAGGCCGCGAUGAUCAUCUCGAUGCAGCAGGGGUGGUUGGCGGCCGGCUACUGGCCGCUAUGGAGCACCUGGCGAAAGCUGCCGUGGUCCAUAUCCGUCGCCGGUGGUCGUAUCCCCUCUGGCACCGGCUACAACGACGACGGCCAAAUCUCCUCCAAGCGAUGGCCAGAACUCCUACGAAAGCGCGGGCUUGGUGGCGGCCGUGUCGAGACGUGGUUUGGUAUGGAUGGCCGGGGGGAAGCAGUGAGGAGGCGGUCGGAGAAUACUGGGGGCGCCGGUGGCGGGGUGGGGCGGAGGAGAGCGGGUGGAGGCGUUGGAGGCGAAUGGAGUGCUAGUGUCCCCAACAGGCGGGCCGCGGGGAGGACAAGGGCGUGUGUCCAGCCCGUCCGUGUGAUGUCCGUUUCAUCCCAAACUCGGCACAAGUUUGGGCCAGGAAUGGGUAAAAAACGGACGAAAUCCGGACAUUUGUCUAUUUGAGGCCGUGCCUUGGGUCGCGCUAUUCGUGUAUUCUACCCUAAACGGACGCACCAGAACGGAAUGGGGUCGCGUGCUGGAGUUGGCCUCACGACCGUUUCUGCCUUUGGCGCAGACAAGAGAUUCUACACUGUAAAGGAAAAAGCUGAAAGCUCGCUUGUCUCGUGUGUUUCUCUUCUCUUGCACCUUGUCGGAAAACAGCGUGCACCAGGGACGCUCGAUUCCAUGGCAGGCAUCAAUUCAAUCGAUCAUGCUACAGGGAACCGGCACUAUUUUCUUUUUCUUUUUCUUUUUCUUUUAGGUCGUGAACGCAAGUCAUUUGAGACAUUCACAUAGGACUUACAUAAUUGGUAGAUUUAUUAGCAUCAGUGUGGAGCUAAAGUGUUUGAUGUUUUGUAUGAAUGGUUUGGUCUUAACAAUCAAGCCGACCACUCAGGACCUACUUUUGGACUUUUUUUUUGUAUUAUUGUAUACUAGCAAAAGGGCCCGUGCGCGGAGAAAAAAAUUAUAAUCUUGAAUGACCAUGAUCACAUUUUUUUGCAUCACCGAGAUACACUAUCACUUUCAAUUUCGGGAAAUCAUGUACAUUUUUUAAACUUGUGAACAUUUUUCAAAUUCUUGAACACUUUUACAAAUCUGCAAACAUAUUCUAAAAUCAAGAACAUAUUUUGAAUUCAUGAACAUUUUAUAGUAUUUACAAACAUUUUUAGAAAUUACGAAUUCUUUUUAACAACUUUCUUGAAUAGGCAAACAAUUCUAAAAUGGACGAACAUUGUUUUAUAAAUCGGUGGAACAAUUUUUGAAAUUCACGAACAUUUUUUUGAUUUUACAAACAUUUUUUGAAAUGCAUGAUCAUUUUUGUAUAAACUAUUUUGUAUGUCACGAACAGAUUUUCAAAUAUUUGGUUAUUUCCCCAUUCAUGAACAUUUUUUGAAUGGUGAUAUUUUCUUCAAUUUCAUUAACAUUUUUUAUACACCAAUUUUUAAAAAGUCAUGGACGUAUUUUGAUUUCAUGAACAUUUGUUUUCAAAAUUUCGAACAUUUUUCGAGUCAGAUUCUUUAAUAAAAUUGCAAAUAUUUUUUGAAUACAUAAACAUUUUAUGAUUUAUUAAAACUUUAUUUGAAAAUUAUUUUUAAAUUUCAAAUAUUUUGUGUAUUCCGAAUUUAGUUAAAGCAGAAAAAACGGAAAAGGAUAAAAAAGGAAAUGUUAAAAACAGGCCGCCCGGACAUGGGCGGCCCAAACAGGCGGGCCGCGCCUUAUCCCUACGCGCAGAGCCCAGUAUGGGAGGUCGCUACUACAUGGCCCAGUCCAGACGUGGAUUCCCUGUGUGAAACAUUUAUAUCACUUAUACAUGACAUUUGUGGGUAAUUUGUACGACGUGCCAUAAGAAGAAAUAGCCCCUUUAUUAUUACUAGCAAAAGUGUCCGUGUGUUGUAAUGGGAGAAAUAAAAUCAAAAUCUCCAAUGACCAUGACCAUAUUUUGUUGCAUCACCCAGACACCCUAUCACUCUCAAUUUCAUGAAAUCAUGAAUAAUUUUUGAAAUCACGAACAUGUUUUAAAAUUAUUACUCAUAUUUGAAAUUGUGAACAUUUUUCAAAUUCAUGAACACUUAUACAAAUUUUCGAACAUUUUCUAAAAUCCAGAACAUUUUUGGAAUUGAUGAACAUUUUAUACUAUUUGCAAACACUUUUUAAAGAUUCUGAACAUCUUUAUAAACAAUUUUCUUUAAUCGAGGAACAUUUGUAUGGAAAUUGACGGAACAAUUGUCGAAAUUCACAAACAUUUUUUGAUUGAACUAACAUUUUUUGAAAUACAUGAUCAUUUUUUGAAUCAGUAGACAUUUUCUGAAUGACUAAACUAUGUUGUAAGUCACGAAAUAGUUUUUGAAUUUUAGGAUAUUUCUCCAUUCAUGAACACUUUUUGAAUUGGCUAUUUUUUUCAAUUUCAUUAACAAUUUUUGAUACAAAAACUUUUUAAAAAUCAUGAAUUUUAUUUGAUUUCCCAAAAAAUUGUGUUUAAAGUUUUGAACAUUUAUUGUGUAAGCAAUUGUUUUUUACAAAACAGCGACCAUAUUUUGAAUCCACAAACAUUUUAUGAUUUAUGAAAAUUUUAUGUCAAAAUACUCAUUUUUUAAAUUUUCUAAACUUUUUUGAAAUCCUAAACUAUUUAUAGUAAAAAGAACGAAAACAGGAAAGAAAAAUGAAAAUAGAAAACGAAAUCAAAGAAACAGGCCAGCCUGAAAUGGGCCGGCCCAAACAUGCGUGUAGCGUCUUCUCCCAGCGUGCCGAGAACAUUAUAGGAGGUCCCUACUGUAGAGCCGGCCCAGAUGGGGGAAUUCCCUUGUGUGAAUUUUUUGUAUCACUUAUAUGUGGCAUUGAACUCAUGAAGCAUGCGCUAUCCCUUCCAGCUCGCCGCCAUGUCUGGCUCGGACAACCAGAUGGACUUUCUUUCGUCCCUGUAAACGUUUUGAUGAUAUAAUAAAAAGCUUCGGAAUUUGUCUAAAAAAACUUAUAAGUGGCAUUGGUGGGUAAUAUUUUGCAACUUUAGAGGUAAUUCCAUGACGUACCACCAGAAGCACAAUAGCCCCUUUACUAUUAUUAGGUACUCUUUUUUCCUUGUGGAGCUUUGGAAAUGAGAGAAUUUGAAUAUAGUAACUCUCGGAAACUCUUAUUGGACGAGAGAGAUUUAAUAUGAUAUUGGCAUGGGUUCUACCAACUAAACGAAGAAGUAUUUGACUGAAUAAACAGACAAUUUCCUUUAAUCGACGAACAUUUUUAUGAAAAUUGGUGGAAUAACUUUUGAAAUUCAUAAAUAUUUUUUGAGUUAACGAACAUUUUUUGAAAUACAUGACCAUUUUUUUGAAUCUGUGAACGUUGUAUGAAUGAAUAAACUAGUUUGUAAGUCAUGAGCAGUUUUUCAAUUUUUAGGAUAUUUUUCCCUUCAUGAACAUUUUUUCAAUUGGUGAAAUUUUGUUCAAUUUCAUUAACAAUUUUUAGUGCAUAAAACUUUUUAAAAUCAUGAACAUUAUUAUUUACCAAAGAAGCAAAUUGUUUUUUGCAAAAUCAUGGACAUUUUUUGAACCCACAAACAUUUUAUUAUUUAUGAAACAUUUUUUUAAUACACAAUUUUUUUAAUUUUCGAAUUUUUGUGAAAUACUAAAUUAUUUAAAGUAGAAAAAUCAAAAACAGAAAAGAGAAAGGAAUAAUAGAAAAGGAAGUUAAAUAAUAGGCCGACCGAACAUGGGCUGGCCCAAACGGGCGCACUGCAUCUUCUNNNNNNNNNNNNNNNNNNNNNNNNNNNNNNNNNNNNNNNNNNNNNNNNNNNNNNNNNNNNNNNNNNNNNNNNNNNNNNNNNNNNNNNNNNNNNNNNNNNNNNNNNNNNNNNNNNNNNNNNNNNNNNNNNNNNNNNNNNNNNNNNNNNNNNNNNNNNNNNNNNNNNNNNNNNNNNNNNNNNNNNNNNNNNNNNNNNNNNNNNNNNNNNNNNNNNNNNNNNNNNNNNNNNNNNNNNNNNNNNNNNNNNNNNNNNNNNNNNNNNNGUAUUAUUAUUGUUUCAAAUUUAUUCAUAUAUUAUUUUCAAUUGUACAACCAUAAUUUUUCUUAUCUCUCUCGUUCCACUACAUGCUCCUAGUCAAAGAUUUUUUUUAAUAAUGGGUGUUUUUAUUAACUCAAAAUAUAGCAUCAAGCGGAUACAAAACAUAAUGAGCCACACCCGGUCUAUGCAUAACUAAGAUGCACACAGCCAAAAGCAGAAGUCUGACAAAAAUAAGAUAAGAAAAUCGACAUAUCGACAACAGUGAGUCAUGUAGUACCGACACUAUGCCUCUGUCGAAGGAGGUGGUGGAGCGAUCUGGAGAUUAUGCUGCCAUCCAUGUUGAGUAAAUAUCUCCCUGGCCACUUGCUCCAACCGCAUAGACGCCGCCAUGAACAACGGUUGGUACUCCAUUCGGUGUAGCAUACACCAUACUAGAGGCUGGGGCGCCACCUGAGGCGGGCCUAUGCGCACUUAUUUUGUCUGGGCACUUCGGUUGUCAUGUUUGGUCAUCAGUAUCACUUAUGUACAUCAAUAUGGGCGUAUGCUGUAUUGUUUGAGUUCAUUAGGAUCUAUUAGUAUCACAUCAAUCAAAGUACAUAUACUAUGUUAUUUGAGUUCAGAACCAUCAUAGGCAAUGAUACGUCUAAUAAGGAUAUAUAACAUUUAAUUCAAAAGGAAAGACAAAGUAGAAUUAAGUGCUUUAGUUUGGCCGAAGAAAGGAACCUCAUGAUGCCAUGACUAAGGAACCAAAUAUAAAAGAGCACCUUUCAGAGUACUCCAGAGGUAUGACAUCAUCCAUUUCCACAUCAGAAUCAUCGGAAUUCUCCUGAUCUUCAUUUCGAUGUACCCAACACAAAUGCUACAUGGAUUUUAGUCAGCUGCACUCCCCACUACUUCUACACUUCCCCUUUUUCACACCGACGAGCAGAGACUGAUGCAAGUUGAUCGAACACAGAACAACAUAUAAUUUCCUAGAGAUGCGCUGGGCCUGAAAGGCAACAUACCUAGCAUGCGCAUAAAAUGUGAGAGUAACAAUAAAAGAACAUACCAUUUACCGAUAUGAUUAUUAUUGCUUGCCAAAAUGAUACGUUUUGAUUACUAUUGCAUGCCAAUAUUCUUAAUCACUCCAAGCAAAUUUAACCUAAACUAAAUAUCUAAGAGUAAGCUCUGGUUUAUGUAUUUUACAGAAGUUUGGUUCAGCGAAACUUCGGAAGCAAAUGUGUGAAGGUUUUAUCAUUCUAAUUAAAGGCCUUUUGAUUGUGCAAAACUUACACUACCACAUGAGUUACUGACCAACAUGAGAUGCAAAGUAACAACAGCAUGAUAAUUUUUUUUGAAGGCAGUCAUAUUCUAAAGCAUUAAAAGAUGAAUUCCAAUGCUUUGAUUCUGUAAAGAAUUAGAUCGAUCACUCAACAGUUCUAUUGGCGCCACUAAAAUUCUGAGUGCAAUGUUGUGUAUGUAGCUAAAAUUCACCCAUCAAAGACAACCUUAAUAAUAAGCAAUGGUCAAAACAAGCAAUUGUUGAAGUUAAAUGUAAUUAGAUAGGAAGUCACAUUUGAUUCAUGACCAUCGAGCUGAAAAUGAGACCGAUAAAAGCUGAUUCACCAUGAAGAGAAACAACUAAUGUGAACCUCGGGUUGUAAAACAAAUAGGAUGAGUCGUGUGCUGAUUGCAAAAAAUUGUACUUCUAACCAAAUGACCAUGCUUCAUGAAUAGAUGACAAUAUAGUAACACGAAAGUGAAGUACGGUGAAAUUUUGUAAGCUACUAAGGGCAUAGGGCAAAGCUCACACUCCAGCUUGCACUCCUUGAAGAAAUCAACCAAAAGCACCCAGAAAGAUAAAUGGCAUUGUGGCAUCCGAUGAAUGUUGAUAACUGUACCAUCACACUAAUUUAAUCUACAAAAUUCAUGUCAACAUCACUAAUCAUGAUGUAUCAGGUUAGGAUAAAAUCAUUGUUUUUUCCCAAAAUAAAAUAAAACAAGCCCAGUUAGAAAGAAAUCAUAAGCCUAUCAGACAAUCAGGCAAUUCUGUUAGCAUGUCAACAAUCAGACAGAACAAAACCUAUAGUCCUCAUUUUUUUCUUUCUAAAAAAAGUGUAAUGCUAGAAAAGAGAGUUAAAUAAAAUGCUACGUGAAUCAGCAUACAGAAAAUUCAUAGAAGCAAUGAAGAAAAUAUGAACAAAAUUUAUGUCGAAACACCUAUACUUUCCCCACGAGCAAAUAUGUGUAAUGUUAGAAAAGGGAGUUAAAUAAAAUGUUAGGCAAAUCCGCAUCCAGAAAAUUCAUAGAAGCAAUGAAGCAAAGAUGAGCGACAAAUUUAAUCUACACACACACACACACACACACAUUCAGGCAAACAAAUUACUUCGAUUGAAUCCAUUCCUUUGCAUAUAUGGCAUAAAUGCAUCUAAGGAAAAAAAAACUUGAUGGUGUUAGUUUACCUUGCCAAGAUCAUGAAAUCCAUCUAAAUGAAUAAGAAGCUCCAACAGUGUCCGCUGGAUCUCAUGGUCGUCAUUGGUUCCCUCACUAAAUCUUCUCGCAUCAAUUGCAUCGAUUUCAUCCAUGAAGAUAAUGCAUGGCUAGAAAUAACAACUUGAUGAAAAUGAAACAAAAUUUGCAAGCACCGUAAAUAAACUAAAUGGUGAUAUAAGCUAAAAUGAUCUCAGAAGUGCACUUUUACAUAUAUAGAGAUCAGUUUGAUUUCUUCUUCUCAGGAAAAACUGAUACUGAAAUCUAAAGCUUAAAGUUUUUCUAGUGUUGAACCAGAAUACAAUUAGAUGACAUGACAUCUGAGUCAAGGGAACUAUCAAAGUCACAGCUUGAAUCUCAACACCAGUAGAUGCAUAACCAUCUGCCAACAUACGUUUCUAACAGAUAAUAAGGGAAUUAGGUUUAAGACCAAUUGGCUUUGCAAAAAAGAAAGGCGGAGCAAAACUUACUUGGCGAUCGCGUGCAUAGCCGACCAUUUCUCUGAUUAAAAGCGCACUUUCCCCGAUAUAUUUGUCAAUUAUAGCACUUGACACAAUCUGGUUUUUAGACAACACGUCAGUGUAAUGUAAUACUCACAGAAUGAAAAUACCAACCACCAUCAAUCAAGUGAAAACCACAGCUCCAAAAAGUUAGCAUGAAUGUUACUGGAUAUAGCCCUUGAUAGUAAUGGCUUCCCUGUAGAGUAGAACGCACUUGAAAAAGUUAAAGAAACAUACACUGGCUCCCAUAUAUUGAUCUUGUAUUUGACAAGUGGCCGGGCAUCAACAUUGUGCCUGCUGGUGUACCAAUUCAGCUUGUAGCUGCCAGCUAAUCUCCUUCUGAACAGUUAUGCUGUCCUCACUCACGUGCUACGCCUAUUCAAACUUGCUUAAUUUAAUUUGUUACUACUAUGUUAAUGCUGACAUAUUAACUGGCAGACCUCAUGUACUAACAGUAAAUCCCAGCAUACUUUCUUAAUUUGCUACUAUCCGGAUUUAUUCUUUUAGCGAGAGGUCAGGUAUCACUUGGAACAACUGAGUUUCUUUUUAAUCUUUGUGGACACUACACUUGAACGCCACAACCACCUGGAUAUGUCAGGCAGGACGGGCAGCAGCGCAUCAUCAGUAAGUUUAUUUAAGAGAGUAAAAUUCAGUCGCAAUCAGUCAAUCUCAAUCAGGUUCAGAUUUGGACGCGACCUUGAAUAACGAAGCCCCAACUGGGAAGAACAAGGUUGCAAGAACAAGCAGAUUGACGAUGGGUUCAUGGAAGCUUACCAGGCAGGCAGUCCGCCCGGCGGCUUGAGCAAGCUGCUGCUGGUACCCUACGCGCAGUCGCAGUCCGCACCGGCCAGGGCACACGAGCACUGACGCGCGUGCCGCCUGCCGCUUCACCAUGCCCACGUUGUAGUCGCCACCGAUUCACGGCAGGGCAGAGGGGCCUCGACCUCGUCCUCCUCCACAUCAUCAUCGGCGAUGCCCUUCCCCUCCUGACCCCAACACCAUCAUGCCCCCGCCGACUCAUCUCCCUACAGCGACGGCGACUCCGGAGGCUCCGAGACCUGGGACACCGACAUGAGUGGCUCGUCGGCAUCGGAUCUCCUCCACCCNNNNNNNNNNNNNNNNNNNNNNNNNNNNNNNNNNNNNNNNNNNNNNNNNNNNNNNNNNNNNNNNNNNNNNNNNNNNNNNNNNNNNNNNNNNNNNNNNNNNNNNNNNNNNNNNNNNNNNNNNNNNNNNNNNNNNNNNNNNNNNNNNNNNNNNNNNNNNNNNNNNNNNNNNNNNNNNNNNNNNNNNNNNNNNNNNNNNNNNNNNNNNNNNNNNNNNNNNNNNNNNNNNNNNNNNNNNNNNNNNNNNNNNNNNNNNNNNNNNNNNNNNNNNNNNNNNNNNNNNNNNNNNNNNNNNNNNNNNNNNNNNNNNNNNNNNNNNNNNNNNNNNNNNNNNNNNNNNNNNNNNNNNNNNNNNNNNNNNNNNNNNNNNNNNNNNNNNNNNNNNNNNNNNNNNNNNNNNNNNNNNNNNNNNNNNNNNNNNNNNNNNNNNNNNNNNNNNNNNNNNNNNNNNNNNNNNNNNNNNNNNNNNNNNNNNNNNNNNNNNNNNNNNNNNNNNNNNNNNNNNNNNNNNNNNNNNNNNNNNNNNNNNNNNNNNNNNNNNNNGGAGGCUCGAGCUUGGGAAGGGGGGAGGGGAACGAAGGGGUGGGGCUCCAGGCAAUCCUCACCUCCAAAGACAACUUGACCGGCAACACGGGCAGGCUAGACCUCUUCUAUGGCGAGGCCAACUUCGGCGAGGGGACGAGGUGGUGCGGGACCUUGGAGAUAUCUCCCCCGCGCGUGGAGCUUGUCCGGCGACGCCGCUGAAGAUGCCACUGCCACGACCAGCUCGAUCCUCCUUCGCUGGACUCCGAUCUGGACGAGGACUGAGCUAGGAGGAGGGAAGCGGGAGAGGAGAAGGCGCAGGAGAAGCGGCUGAGCCGGCGGCGCAGGGACCAGGGAGAGAAGAAGGCGAACGAAGAGGGGAUUGACAGAGUGGCGAAGAAGCAUGCGGGCUAGGUUUCCUUUUCUUUUUCUCCCAGCACUGCACAGUUGCUUGUCUCGUAGCUUGCCGGCAUGGCUAUGGCGAGGGCUCGCCCUUGAUGCGUAGGUUAAUGUAUUCGACUAGCGGGGCGCCUCUUGAGAGGAAGCUGAGCGGUGCUAGGUGGGACGCGCCCCUUUCCCUUUCCUGCAUAUACUAUGUAAUGUUAUUGCAUCAGAUUUAAAGUAACAUGCUCAGCUAAGUGCAAAGUGUGAUGAAUAAGUGAAACAGAAGGAAGCUGGUACAUUGGUGUAUGCCAAAAACUGAAUAUUAUAACAUAAACACAUGAAGUCAUCGACGUCUAUGGUAUGAAAUGCACAUGCACAAAAUUAGAGUGCACAUGAAGACAGAGCACUAUAGUGUCCUGAGUUGCAAGUCUCUAAGCACUGAAAUGAUCUGCAAUCAUAUGUACAAAGUAACCGAAUAAGAACAAGAAAUUUAGAGUAAAUGAGCUGUAAAAUUGUAAGUAAUGAGCAUUGGAAUUAAGGCAGAGUCAGUGACAGUUGGGUGCACUUGACAGGAAAAUCGGCGAGGCAUAAUAUGAAAUUAGAGUAAAUGAGUGCGUGCACUUCUCUUGGUGGCACCUAAAUGAAAAAAGAAACUAUUCACCUCUCGAUAUAUUCCCUAAGACCAUAUAAAAUCAGGAAGGUACUGAAGAGAGAUGCUCAAAUUCGAAGUUGCCAUGUCUAGGAAUGCUUGAAGCUUCAAAGAUUUCCUAUAAUACAGCAUGCCUCUAACUAUUCACAAUAAGAAAAACAUGUAAAUGCGGAAUCAACCAAAUGAUGGUAAAUUGUAGUUGAUUUUGGCCAAGCAAACGUCAGAUGAAAGAAACAUACAUGAGUGAACAUCACGAUUGGAUGUUUUAUUCAAAUUUAACAGGUUAAACUCACCAAAUACAUCUGGAUAUUUAGUGUUAAACUUCAACAGAUGGUCAGUUGUAGCUAGAUUCACACCACUGAAGCAAAAUUCCAUCUGCCACGGUUACAUCACACCAUCUUUUCAUCGUUACUAUUUAAAUUCCAAAAGCCUGCAACUCAUUUUUUUUGUUACGAUGUAUGCAUGAUUUUUAACUCAAGAGGAAGAGGGGAAACUAAAUCCAAGAAAAGAACACCAAGGAAGCAUCCAAAAUAGAGAAAGGAAAAAUCCAAAAUAGAGGCAGAAUCGAAGGGAAGAAACCCCAUAAAAAAUAGGAGAUCAAACGGUGAAAAAAAUCUAAGAGUCAAACAAUUCCAGGUAAGACCAAAUCGACGGCAAAAUAGCACAAGAGGGACUCACAUUAACAGGUAUACCAAUUCAGAAAGAAGUGUAAAGCAAACAGUGCAAUGGACCACUAGUAUAAAUUGGAUGUACACAAACAUGGGACUUAAACAGGAACUGCGAGAUGCAGGGUUCACGUGCAAACCCAAAAAACGGAAAACUGAAACCCACAACAAGAUUUUAUCUUCAUAUAUAUAUAUAUAUAUAUAUAUAUAUAUAUAUAUAUAUAUAUAUAUAUAUAUAUAUAUAUAUAUAUAUAUAUAUAUAUAUAUNNNNNNNNNNNNNNNNNNNNNNNNNNNNNNNNNNNNNNNNNNNNNNNNNNNNNNNNNNNNNNNNNNNNNNNNNNNNNNNNNNNNNNNNNNNNNNNNNNNNNNNNNNNNNNNNNNNNNNNNNNNNNNNNNNNNNNNNNNNNNNNNNNNNNNNNNNNNNNNNNNNNNNNNNNNNNNNNNNNNNNNNNNNNNNNNNNNNNCCUAUCUAUUAGUUGCUUCUUCCGAAUCCCCACCUAUCAAGCGUUUUCUUUGAAUAAACAAACACAAUAGUAUUCUCUGAAUUAUACUGUACAGUGAUAAUUAACCAAGCGACUGGAAUUAACAAUAUUAUGAGCUAUUGGCUUUUUAGUCAGGUAAAUAUCAUUCUUAAGACUACGGAAAACAGCAGGCGGCGAAGAAAACAUCUAUUGAUGAGAACUAUACACAUACUUAAGAAGGAAGUGACAUCUAUGGUAGCAGAACAUAUAUCAAGCUGUUGCAGCUACAUUAGCAGUUUAGCACAGUCCCUCCAUAAUACACAGGCUAGUGUAAUUUCACAAAUACAAUAAGCUAACAAUAUAUAUUUGGUAGAUGGAAAUGGCUGGAUCAUGACCAAUAUACGAUUACACAUCCGAUGAUGCAAAUAAAGAAACGAGGCCCAACAAUAGUGGAAAAUAAACCACAAUAGAACAUGUAUUUGGCGAAACCUCCAUACUGCAAUAUCAAACAUGAAUUGAAAUUAACAAUCUAGCAAAAAAACAUGACAGAUGCAGUCUUGGUCAUUUUUUCUUUUGUGACAUCCCCUAAAAAAAGUAAAAAGAAUGUUGUUCGUAUUUUACCAGAGAUACACUGAGCUGGGACAAAUCGGUCUGAAAUAAAAUAUGAUGGCUUCGGAGGAUUCGGAAGGCAAGAAAUUUGCUUUCUUCCAACAUAUAUGGUCUGCUGAACUAAACUUUGUUUCAGCGAGCUUUGGCAAAAAUCUGUAACUGCAAACAUCAAACUUGUGUGCCCUUCCUACAUCAAACUUUAAACCUGACGGAUUAAAUAUUUUAGGUUAGGCUGAGAUCAGUGUACUUUAUGAGUGUUAAGUGUACUUUCUAAAUAGCAGAGAAACCAUAACAUCUAAGCACAACCCAGCAACUUGUACAAGCUAACAUCAAAUCUGAAAGAGGAAAUGUCGAGAACAGGUGAAGGUACCAUGAUCCAUGACUGAGCAAAGUUAUCUAUAAUCCUCGGUGAAUAUCAUAAAUUAGGAUCAACAAAGCUGAAGAACAAACGGGAAAGGAACCUAGAAAGAUCUUCUGCCGGUAGAAUAUAACUGAUACACUAUCCUCAUUCUCGAGAUCAAGGUCGUUUCUUGAAUUGCAGUUUCCUCACUGUAGUAUGGGGUCAUUACACUGCGAAGAACAAAGUGUCAUAUGAAUCAUUUAGAGCCCAAUCUUUUUCACUGAAACUCUUAUGAUCACAUAACGAAUUUAAACAUAAGGUUUAUUAGAUAUUUGUUGUUGUGAACUGAUAAUAUAUUUCUGGUGUUGACAAUGUUUUGAUUAUGGAUGCACUUCAAGAUGGGUGGCACAGAUUCUGUUGUACAGGCCUCCACCUGGAAUUUCAUCACUUGUUAUUUUUGUUUAGAAUGUCUAGGUGCAUUUUUCCUUUAAGGUGGAAACAGAUGUACUUGUAUAAGCAACAAGAAUACAAAGCGCCACUGCCAUACAUUGUGGAAGUUCAAUGCUUCUGUUUACAAAAUCUGCUUCCCAAAACAGAAGGAUUUAUAAUUUUUUAUUACAAUCAAGCGGACAUGAGCUGAUGAGUACAGAUGUAAACAUGUACUGAGAGCAGCACCCUUUCAAAAGUGGAUCAUUUACAAGUUGGAUAGUUUGAUGGUCUGAAAUUAGUGGUCGUGUUUCAGAAUUGUUAUCGAAUAGUAGAGGAUAUAUAUUAACUUCUGAAAUUAGUGGCUGUUUGUCAGAACUGUUAUCGAAUAACAGAGCACAUAUAUUAACUUCAAUAAGUGGAGUAAUAUCUUUGGAUUCGCUGUGAGGAAAGAUUACCAAAACAAAACAGAAGUGAGUGCGACGACCCAGAUGAGGGCGCUCUUGAGCCUCUUCCCGACCGACCUAGAUGCAGGAGCAGAACACCGCGGAUCUAAUCAGCCAACGAAUAAAGCCGAGGCAGGUAGAGGAAGUAAGGGAGGAAGAAGACUGACUUGUCCUGGUCGCCCUCGUAGUAGAAUAUGGUGAACGGGAUGACGAGGAAGACGAGGACAGCGUCGAGGAUGUAGACGACGAGCCAGAGCGUCUUCAUGGGCAGGAUAAGGGCGCAGGCCCCGUUGUAGGCGGCGUGCUUGCAGGUCUGGCGGUUGGCGACGUCAGCGGGGAGCAUGAGGAUGGAGAGGACGGCGACGGUGAUGCCGAGCACGACGACGAGCUUGGGGAAGUAGGCCUGGUUGGCAUCAUCCGGGUGCUGGUAGUUGACGAGCAUGUAGACGCUGACGAGGAGCACCAGGAUGCUGACCACCGCCGCCACGAUCACUAGCGCCACGUUAAAAACCCCAUCUCCUCGGGGCUCCGGUCCCGGUUCCGGCCCGCCGCCUCGCCCCCGUUGGUCGGUCAGAUCUCUCUGUCCCUAGAGGCGGGGGGAUACAGGCUAGGGUUUGGGCGUGGGCGGGGAAUAGGCUGCUAUGGUGUCGGCAGCGGGGCGGCCACCGGCGGGGAGGGCGGGAUCCGCGCGGGGUGGCGGGAUUUGGGCAGGCGGUGGGCUCGGGGGAGGGCGGUGGCAGCGAAGCAGCAGGGAGGGGCUGGAGGAGAUGAAACGAAAGAGGUCGCGUGACACAGCGACAGCGUCGUCCAAUCCCCUCGCUGCCGAUUUAAAAAAAGGUAAUGAUAACUCCCGAACGUUCAGGAGUUAAGCAUGGCAACCCGAACGGGUUUAGAUGGCAAGUUUAGUUUGCGUGAGAUUAGAGAAACAUGGCAAUUUUCUGACAAAAGAAAUGAAAAAGGACGAAGUUGCCAUCCCCUAUCAACUAAAGUUGCCAUCCCUAUGAACUAAAGUUGCCAUGUAAAAACGUUCGGGAUGAAAUGCUCAAAAUCCGAACGUUCGGAAGUUAUUGGAUUCAAAAAAAAUCCCCUUGCUGCCAAUCGCUGGCCCGUUUCUUUUUUCGCCCAAUCGCUAGGUGAUGACGUGGCUAUCACGGGAAGGCGCCCUUGAUGCGUAGUCGAAUGGUUUUAAUUAAUAGGAAGCGAGUGCUUACUCUAGUUACUGAAUUAUGUACACCAAAUAAAGCCAUUUACACGUAGUUAAUGACAAAAAAAGUUGAUGUUUGCUACGCAAACGUGUAGUACAAAUUAAGAAGUGCAAGAUAAAAAAAAAUGCUGGUCCUUGAUUCGUUGUUGAUCGUCAGCAUGCCAUCAUCAAUUUGUAGUUAAUUAUCAUACAAAUUGGCUCUUUCAUAGAGUUGGAGGCUAGCUCCUUUGAUCAGCACGCGCUUAAACAUAAACAGCACGUAUAUGUUUUGUCUCCGGAGUUCAAUUCUUCAUCGGCCAGCAAAAAUGGCCCGACCGGGUAGAGGAAAAGGCAUGUUUGUUAGUACGCCUGGAGGAAAUGCCUUUGAUUAGGGCAUCUUCAACAGCGACCAGUAAAUUUCCUCCCGCGUUCGUCCACGGAUAGGGGAUCAGUCCGCGGAUACGGAUACAGGAAUCAUCUAUCUAACGCUGUCCGCGUAUAUUUCAAACACAUUUUUUUUAAAAAAAUAGGAUGAAAUUCAUGCAAACACAAUGGAUUUCAUACAAACCGGACAAAAAUGUUUACAUUUUGGACAUAUUUUUUUUACUAAAAACUCUACAGCCGGCGCCGGCGAAUAUCCACUCCGGCGACAUGGAACCCUUGACUAGUCUACUGCCGGCCGCAGCGGAUCUCCAAUGUCGUCCCCAUGUCCGGCAACUAUGAGCCCUAGAGGUAUAUGCUUCAGCGCAAAGAGCGGCUCGCCUCCCUACCGCUCAUCGGAGUGGAACAACCAGCUGAUGCUUCUGCCGAUGGAAAGGGUCCCUACGCUACACGGAUUAGAGUUGGUUUUGGGCUGGGAACGGCGGUGGCCUGCCAGAGGGCAAGACACCGACUGUGUAUGCUGGUGUCACCUGGUGUGGCAUUCGUGGGACCCAAGCGGCAGCGCCUCCUCGAUGAUGGCGGCGAGCGCGGACGUGUUGGACACCACCUCGUCGAUGUCCGUGCAGCCCGCUUCUUUCUCUGUAGGAAGGACGCGGUUACGCUCGCGUUGACAUCGGAUGACUCGGUCACAUGCACGGGAGGGGCGGUACGACAUGGCACCGCCAAUGGCAGCCAUGAUGCCCGCGCCAGCGUGCUCUCUCCCAGUGCCGACCUAGAGCAACUUGCCACUCCUCUGCUCGUGAACGGUGGGCUUGACGGGCCACCUAGCCAUUUUUUAUGCCAGACAACUCUUCUUCCUGCUCGUCAGAUGUCAUGGAUAAAACUGUUUAAGGAGGAAAAUGAUGAGUAGACGUGUGAUGCGGUUCUUGCCCAACAUCUGACAUUGUUUAAAUAGCGAGGGGACACGAGAGGAGCCAACUGGCGUUCUGUUUAAUGCCAACCGGCUCGCGAACGAACAUGUGGCUGGAGUAAUUAUCCUGGCACACACGCGGGUUUAAUGGUGGAAGGUGGGCAGUCUGCAGGAAUGAGGCGAGGAUGUGUGCUUAGCCGGCGUGCAGCAGGCGGCGCCCUCGGCCGGCGUGCUGCAUCCAUUGCGGAGGCAGUGAGAGGUCGCGUCCGCUCUGCAGCGCAUGAAUGCGGGCAGCUGGCGCAGAGCGGGAACGCGUGCGGGCGAGGGAGGAGGGGGUUUGGGCGGGUGGUCAGAAGAGGUCGUGGGUGUUGUCCGAACGCCUGCAAAGCCCCCCUCCAUGUUUGUCUCCAGUUUGCGGGAGAAAGUAUGUCCGAACCGUCUCCAAUGGACCAAUACAGGCCCGCAUUGGAUGGCACAACACGUCCGGACCAUGUGGUCCGGAUGGUUGUGGACAGUUUAAUUGAGGGUCGGCGUUGGAGAUACCUUAGAGUUUAUGAAUCCAUUGUGUUUUUCUAAUCAUAAAAAAGCACUUACAAUAAGUUAUAAGGAAAGACACGUUUAUAUGUUAGGUUCAGACUCCAGCUUUCGUUUUACAUAUGCUUUAUUCAUCCGACUGAUUCCAAUAGAGUGAGCCUAGCGUUGUUUUUCUGGAAACUCGCGGGAUAAGGAGACAUGCAUACACAUUCUUUCAAGCAAAUCACAUCCAUCCUUUUUAACUCAUUUUUCUUCUUUUAAUAAUAUAAUAGAUCAUUUAUAUUUUUAUCUGAAACAGUUGACGUGUAAUUUAUAUUGUAAUCUGAGGAUAAUGUUUGGAUUUUACUUUCAAAUAUAUUUGAAAUGGCCAUGAUGGAAUCACAUCCAUUUAUUUUAUUAUUAUUUGAAUUUGAUCCAAAAGAUAAAUAAUGAGUAGAGGUCAUGUCAACUUUUCUGAGAACUUUGCUAAUCAAAAUAUAAUUGUAUUUAAAAACAUCUAUUUUUUAGCACGCAUGAAAAAGAUAACACGUAUCUUUUCACACAUAAUGAACGGUUGUCAUAAGAACUCAUGCCAUGCCACAACCUCCCUCCGACCCUGCCAACAUUGUUGCAGCUGCACUCGCAAGCCUUAGCGUAGAUGAUAAUUUAUACAAUUUGCGUAAAACAAAAUAAGAUCUACAAAUGAAUAGAAGCUAGAACGUACAUUGGCAUGCACACACAUUGCAAGCCAUACUAAGCUGAUAAGUGUUAAUAACUUGUACAACAUAUACAACACUUAAGACAAGUAAAAGCAAUUUGAUGAGUCAUGGUCUAUCAAAGCCACAUUACUAGUCUAAUCCAUCUUAACAGGUCACACAUGAUUAAAAUCUUGUUUGUGUGCAAGUCAAGCUUAUCUAGUUUACAUGUAACAACUUGUAGAACAUUACAAAAUUUAUGUUUGCUAAUAACUUCUAGAACACUACAACACUUGACAUGUAAAAGGAAUUUGAUGAGUUAGCGUACUAAAGCAAGUUAUAUUACUAGUCUUAUCUACCUUAACAGGCCACACAAGAUUACAAACCAAGUUCUGUGCCAGCCAUGCUUAUCUAGAUUAUGCGUAACAAUUUGCAGAAAAUUACAAACUUAGUUUCAGAAAAAUAGGCAAUCUAGAUUAGUGUUUGAGCUGUAAAGUGAGUAAAAUGAGUCAUGCGUGUUAUCACACCUUUUUGGUUGUGGAAUGAUAGUGCAACAACAAGGAACUUUAAUGACCAGUUCAAGAAUACACUUGUAAGUAGUGCCACCGAACACAACAUACCAAAUUAUGAUUUUGAGAAGCAUCCAAGCACUUCCACACAAGCAAAUGCCAAUUGUGAAAGAGAUCAUGCCAUGGCAGCUAUAAAUAGGCCCGUAGCAUGACGAUCAUCCUUCCUCAUCCAUCAUUCUCAUAAGUAGAGCGCAUCAUUUAAGCCAAGCAAGCAGUGCUCAAUACAAAUCCACCAUGAAGACCUUUCUCAUCCUUGCCCUCCUUGCUAUUGUAGCAACCACCGCCACAAUUGCAGUUAGAGUUCCAGUGCCACAAUUGCAGCCACAAAAUCCAUCUCAGCAACAACCACAAGAGCAAGUUCCAUUGGUACAACAACAACAAUUUCCAGGGCAGCAACAACCAUUUCCACCACAACAGCCAUAUCCGCAGCCGCAACCAUUUCCAUCACAACAACCAUAUCUGCAGCUGCAACCAUUUCCGCAGCCGCAACUACCAUAUCCGCAGCCGCAACUACCAUAUCCGCAGCCGCAACCAUUUCGACCACAACAACCAUAUCCACAACCGCAACCACAGUAUUCGCAACCACAACAACCAAUUUCGCAGCAGCAGCAGCAGCAGCAACAACAACAACAACAAAAACAACAACAACAACAACAACAACAGAUCCUUCAACAAAUUUUGCAACAACAACUGAUUCCAUGCAGGGAUGUUGUAUUGCAACAACACAGCAUAGCGUAUGGAAGCUCACAAGUUUUGCAACAAAGUACUUACCAGCUGGUGCAACAAUUGUGUUGUCAGCAGCUGUGGCAGAUCCCCGAGCAGUCGCGGUGCCAAGCCAUCCACAAUGUUGUUCAUGCUAUUAUUCUGCAUCAACAGCAACAACAACAACAACAACAACAACAACCGUUGAGCCAGGUCUCCUUCCAACAGCCUCAACAACAAUAACCAUCAGGCCAGGGCUCCUUCCAGCCAUCUCAGCAAAACCCACAGGCCCAGGGCUCUGUCCAGCCUCAACAACUGCCCCAGUUUGAGGAAAUAAGGAACCUAGCGCUAGAGACGCUACCUGCAAUGUGCAAUGUCUAUAUCCCUCCAUAUUGCACCAUUGCUCCAGUUGGCAUCUUCGGUACUAACUGAGAAGAGAAGAACUCUAGUAGUAGAUAUAUGAUACACCGUUUUCUUAGUCCAUGGUUUGGUCGUUGUAGCGGUGAAAAAAUAAAGUGACAUGCACUAUCAUGUAAGAACCCGAACUAUACUAGUUCAAACAUGGGAAUAAAAGACAAACACAUGUCUUGUCUACAUAUGAUUGUUUGUUUGAGUUCCACUCAUGUGCCCACUCACAAGUUCACCCCUAAUUAUAUAUAUUAUGCAUUAAGUAGAUAUUUAUGUUGCAUUAAUCUAAAGAUAACAAAAUGAGUCUGAAAUUUGAAUUAAAUUGAAG
rnacentral:lncRNA from 1 species